CACAUGACAUGGUUUCACUUUCAGUCAAAGACUGAAGACCCUGGACGGACGGCGAACGAGACGAGAGGGCAUCCGAGGCGAGGCGAGGCUCGCAUCCCUCCACGCCGUGCCUGGCCGGCGGUCAGUCGGGCCGCCGGAACCGGAGAGCGUACGUAGAGCCUGGAGCUAGUCAGGUAGCUCCAGGUAGCAGCUAGGGCCCAGGCGGUGGCAGCAGCAGAGCAGCAUCGGCGGCGAAACCAACGG
rnacentral:lncRNA from 7 species